rnacentral:misc_RNA from 1 species
AAGUCGUAACAAGGUUUCCGUAGGUGAACCUGCGGAAGGAUCAUUACCGAGUUAGGGUACUCUUCGUGCCCGACCUCCAACCCUUUGUCUACCUGACCAGAUGUUGCUUCGGCAGGCCCGCCGCCCCGUAAGGGGUAGCCGCCGGGGGUCCUUACCGGCCCCGGGUCCGUGCCUGUCGAUGGCCCUUCUAUAAACUCUUGCUGAAAACGUGUCGUCUGAGUAAAAAAACAAAUAAAAUAAAACUUUCAACAACGGAUCUCUUGGUUCUG